CUUUUCCUGACGCACCAUUACAGUACAUUUUUCAGCAGAGAUCAUUGUGAGAUUGCAAGUUGGGAGAAUGACAGCUCGAGUGUAUUUCUCGUUAAUUGCUGUUUUAUCAUGUCUGUUCGGAUACUUGAGCAUAACAGAAGCUACUCAUGGACAAACCACAGCAAAGCCAGGAAAGUGUCCACCCCAAUCAUUAGGAAGAAGAUCGUGUACCAGGUCCUGUGAGUGACUCUAACUGUCCCAACAAUGAGAAGUGCUGCAGUAAUGGAUGUGGACGUUACUGUACGGCUC